rnacentral:rRNA from 1 species
AUCGCCGAUAGAUCGGCCCGCGUCUGAUUAGCUAGUUGGUGAGGUAAUGGCUCACCAAGGCGACGAUCAGUAGCUGGUCUGAGAGGAUGAUCAGCCACAUUGGGACUGAGACACGGCCCAAACUCCUACGGGAGGCAGCAGUGGGGAAUAUUGGACAAUGGGCGCAAGCCUGAUCCAGCCAUGCCGCGUGAGUGAUGAAGGCCUUAGGGUUGUAAAGCUCUUUUGUCCGGGAAGAUAAUGACUGUACCGGAAGAAUAAGCCCCGGCUAACUUCG